AUAGAGGAGCGUUCGAUGAAGAGUACGCUGGGGGAGGCGCCGCACCGAGGAGCCCGGCUGAAAGGAAUCAACGCCGAAGGAGGCCGUCCCGCGGCGGGGCCGCCUCCUGGCCGCAGGGCGAAGAGCUCUUCGGCUGUCAUCAUGGUUAUGAUGGAGCGCUAUUC
rnacentral:ncRNA from 1 species